rnacentral:tRNA from 1 species
ACUCCUGUAGCUCAGCAGCUAGAGUGUGCGGCCAUAUCGCAAGGUCGUGGGUGCAAAUCCCACCAGGAGCA